AGCUUGGCGCAGUGGCAGUAUCGUAGCCAAUGAGAUUUAUCCGGGGCCCGAUUAUUGCUAAUUGAAAAAAAAACAAAUGAGACCUCAGUCAUAGGCUUGUGAGGGUAGUGGAGAAUGAGAUGCAAAGAAACUUGGGACCACUUUUUUGGUUUCUUACAAAUUUG
rnacentral:snRNA from 1 species